GGGCUUAUAGUUUAAUUGGUCGAAACGUACCAUCGGUGAUAUUUUAUUGUAGGUUCGAGCCCUACGAAGCCUA
rnacentral:tRNA from 1 species